ACAAGAAACAACCAAUGAGAUCGAGGCAUUCAGUGGUGUGCUGAAAUAUUCCCUCCCUUCUCCCUAAAGCCUUGCUGAUGUCACUGUCAGGAGGAGGAGCCAAAGGAGAGCAGACGCUGCAGUCUCACAACCAUACAGAAGAAACACACACAAGCUGCAGUCUUUAAGAAGAAAUCCACUGAGGCAGAAGACAAUAAUAAACCACAGGUUUUCAUCUUUACACACUGAUUCUUCAAUGUAUGAGGGCUCAAUGAAUGUCUCAAGACCAUUACUGAUACUGAGGAUUGAUACAACUCAUCAAGCAAGAACAUUUGAGCUUGUUUACCAUAUUUGAAGUGUGCUAAUCAGUGUUUACAUGCUAAUGACAGGCAAUCACAUUAAGCAGUUGUGUCUCUAUGUCUGAAUUAAAACAAUUUGACUUGUAUGGGUUGUU